GACGAACGCUGGAGGCGUGCUUAACACAUGCAAGUCGAACGAUGAAAUGGAGCUCGCUCCAUGGAUUAGUGGCGAACGGGUGAGUAACACGUGAAUAACCUGCCCUUAAUUUUGGAAUAACCCAGGGAAACCUGGGCUAAUACCGGAUAAGUAAACCUGUGGCAUCACAUGGUUUUGGAAAGUUUUUCGAUUAAGGAUGGAUUCGCGGCCUAUCAGCUUGUUGGUGAGGUAAUGGCUCACCAAGGCGACGACGGGUAGCCGGCCUGAGAGGGGGAACGGCCACACUGGGACUGAGACACGGCCCAGACUCCUACGGGAGGCAGCAGUGGGGAAUAUUGCGCAAUGGACGAAAGUCUGACGCAGCGACGCCUCGUGAGGGACGAGGGUCUUCGGAUUGUAAACCUCUUUCAGCAGGGACGAAGCGAAAGUGACGGUACCUGCAGAAGAAGCACCGGCUAACUAUGUGCCAGCCGCCGCAGUAA
rnacentral:rRNA from 1 species